GAAACCGAAACCUACCUCCGACAUCGACGAGGUAGGUUAAUAUGAACUGGGUCCUUCAAUUGAUAUUCACUCUGUUUUAGGGUUGCUACACGGCGUCGAAGUAGUUUGAGGUUGACGCAAAUUUCAGAAGAGGCGGAGGAGACCACAGUAGUGAUCCAUUUGAGGCUAUGUCAACUAGCAGGUUUCGUCACAAACCUACAAUCUCGAUGCGAACCUCUGCCUUCUUCGUCUCUAUCAGGUGAUUUAGGGUUUAGGAAUAGAGUUUCUGGGUUUGACUAGUUUCUGUUUGGAUUCUGUGCUUUGUUGUGAUGGUUUGUUCCUGUAAUUUUUUGGUAUAAUUUGAGCCAGAGCGUAUUGGAACUCAAAUUGUUGCUUGUAUUUUGGUUAAGGCACUGAAGGCAGUGCCAGCUUCCGAUUUCAGCCUUGUCUCUUCCAAAUUCCAGAAAGAGUGCAAAUGGAGGAGCAGUUCAAGACACUAAUUGUUCUGUCUCACUAGUCGGAGCUACAAUUGCUUUACUGGAUAUGUAUUUUCAUCAGCUAUGCAGUUCCUAAAACUCUAGUUCUUCUUUUUGCAGACAGGAAGAUUCAGUCAAUUUUAGGAUGAAGCAUCUAAGAAUUGUCACAUACUUGAAGCUGUCUCAGGAAGAUUCAGUCAAUUUGUGGUGAGAAAUUGGUGAUUGCUUGUCAUGAAGGGCAAGACCAUUUGAGGCUUAGGAUAUGGUCUUCAAAGGGAGACUCUUUGUAUUUCUGCUAAUUCUUCAAGCACAGAGAAGUACACAAUAGAGUUGUUGAGUGCAAUGGGUAAGAUGGCAUUGAAGAUAGAAGAACUGGUUGGAAGCCAAGUUUGCGGCGUAUGCAAAAGUAAAUGUGUCCCCCUUAUGAUGAUGGUACUGGUGAGAAUGACCAAGAAAUAGAUAUUGAAGAUGAGGAGAAUUUUGGCUAUAUGUAUUAAUCUUGUUAGGUUUUCGUAAGCUAACUACUUAUUAGGACGUUAUUUAUCUUAUUUUAACAUACGAAUCUUCUUACUUGCAUAAGUAUUUUUAGUUGAAGACUCAUGAAGUAUAUUUAUGGAAGUGUCUACUUUGUUUAUGUUAGUGUAGUUGG
rnacentral:lncRNA from 1 species